UUAAGCGACUAAGCGUACACGGUGGAUGCCCUGGCAGUCAGAGGCGAUGAAGGACGUGCUAAUCUGCGAUAAGCGUCGGUAAGGUGAUAUGAACCGUUAUAACCGGCGAUUUCCGAAUGGGGAAACCCAGUGUGAUUCGUCACACUAUCAUUAACUGAAUCCAUAGGUUAAUGAGGCGAACCGGGGGAACUGAAACAUCUAAGUACCCCGAGGAAAAGAAAUCAACCGAGAUUCCCCCAGUAGCGGCGAGCGAACGGGGAGCAGCCCAGAGCCUGAAUCAGUAUGUGUGUUAGUGGAAGCGUCUGGAAAGGCGCGCGAUACAGGGUGACAGCCCCGUACACAAAAAUGCACAUGCUGUGAGCUCGAUGAGUAGGGCGGGACACGUGGUAUCCUGUCUGAAUAUGGGGGGACCAUCCUCCAAGGCUAAAUACUCCUGACUGACCGAUAGUGAACCAGUACCGUGAGGGAAAGGCGAAAAGAACCCCGGCGAGGGGAGUGAAAAAGAACCUGAAACCGUGUACGUACAAGCAGUGGGAGCACGCUUAGGCGUGUGACUGCGUACCUUUUGUAUAAUGGGUCAGCGACUUAUAUUCUGUAGCAAGGUUAACCGAAUAGGGGAGCCGAAGGGAAACCGAGUCUUAACUGGGCGUUAAGUUGCAGGGUAUAGACCCGAAACCCGGUGAUCUAGCCAUGGGCAGGUUGAAGGUUGGGUAACACUAACUGGAGGACCGAACCGACUAAUGUUGAAAAAUUAGCGGAUGACUUGUGGCUGGGGGUGAAAGGCCAAUCAAACCGGGAGAUAGCUGGUUCUCCCCGAAAGCUAUUUAGGUAGCGCCUCGUGAAUUCAUCUCCGGGGGUAGAGCACUGUUUCGGCAAGGGGGUCAUCCCGACUUACCAACCCGAUGCAAACUGCGAAUACCGGAGAAUGUUAUCACGGGAGACACACGGCGGGUGCUAACGUCCGUCGUGAAGAGGGAAACAACCCAGACCGCCAGCUAAGGUCCCAAAGUCAUGGUUAAGUGGGAAACGAUGUGGGAAGGCCCAGACAGCCAGGAUGUUGGCUUAGAAGCAGCCAUCAUUUAAAGAAAGCGUAAUAGCUCACUGGUCGAGUCGGCCUGCGCGGAAGAUGUAACGGGGCUAAACCAUGCACCGAAGCUGCGGCAGCGACGCUGAUGCGUUGUUGGGUAGGGGAGCGUUCUGUAAGCCUGUGAAGGUGUGCUGUGAGGCAUGCUGGAGGUAUCAGAAGUGCGAAUGCUGACAUAAGUAACGAUAAAGCGGGUGAAAAGCCCGCUCGCCGGAAGACCAAGGGUUCCUGUCCAACGUUAAUCGGGGCAGGGUGAGUCGACCCCUAAGGCGAGGCCGAAAGGCGUAGUCGAUGGGAAACAGGUUAAUAUUCCUGUACUUGGUGUUACUGCGAAGGGGGGACGGAGAAGGCUAUGUUGGCCGGGCGACGGUUGUCCCGGUUUAAGCGUGUAGGCUGGUUUUCCAGGCAAAUCCGGAAAAUCAAGGCUGAGGCGUGAUGACGAGGCACUACGGUGCUGAAGCAACAAAUGCCCUGCUUCCAGGAAAAGCCUCUAAGCAUCAGGUAACAUCAAAUCGUACCCCAAACCGACACAGGUGGUCAGGUAGAGAAUACCAAGGCGCUUGAGAGAACUCGGGUGAAGGAACUAGGCAAAAUGGUGCCGUAACUUCGGGAGAAGGCACGCUGAUAUGUAGGUGAAGUCCCUCGCGGAUGGAGCUGAAAUCAGUCGAAGAUACCAGCUGGCUGCAACUGUUUAUUAAAAACACAGCACUGUGCAAACACGAAAGUGGACGUAUACGGUGUGACGCCUGCCCGGUGCCGGAAGGUUAAUUGAUGGGGUUAGCGCAAGCGAAGCUCUUGAUCGAAGCCCCGGUAAACGGCGGCCGUAACUAUAACGGUCCUAAGGUAGCGAAAUUCCUUGUCGGGUAAGUUCCGACCUGCACGAAUGGCGUAAUGAUGGCCAGGCUGUCUCCACCCGAGACUCAGUGAAAUUGAACUCGCUGUGAAGAUGCAGUGUACCCGCGGCAAGACGGAAAGACCCCGUGAACCUUUACUAUAGCUUGACACUGAACAUUGAGCCUUGAUGUGUAGGAUAGGUGGGAGGCUUUGAAGUGUGGACGCCAGUCUGCAUGGAGCCGACCUUGAAAUACCACCCUUUAAUGUUUGAUGUUCUAACGUUGACCCGUAAUCCGGGUUGCGGACAGUGUCUGGUGGGUAGUUUGACUGGGGCGGUCUCCUCCUAAAGAGUAACGGAGGAGCACGAAGGUUGGCUAAUCCUGGUCGGACAUCAGGAGGUUAGUGCAAUGGCAUAAGCCAGCUUGACUGCGAGCGUGACGGCGCGAGCAGGUGCGAAAGCAGGUCAUAGUGAUCCGGUGGUUCUGAAUGGAAGGGCCAUCGCUCAACGGAUAAAAGGUACUCCGGGGAUAACAGGCUGAUACCGCCCAAGAGUUCAUAUCGACGGCGGUGUUUGGCACCUCGAUGUCGGCUCAUCACAUCCUGGGGCUGAAGUAGGUCCCAAGGGUAUGGCUGUUCGCCAUUUAAAGUGGUACGCGAGCUGGGUUUAGAACGUCGUGAGACAGUUCGGUCCCUAUCUGCCGUGGGCGCUGGAGAACUGAGGGGGGCUGCUCCUAGUACGAGAGGACCGGAGUGGACGCAUCACUGGUGUUCGGGUUGUCAUGCCAAUGGCACUGCCCGGUAGCUAAAUGCGGAAGAGAUAAGUGCUGAAAGCAUCUAAGCACGAAACUUGCCCCGAGAUGAGUUCUCCCUGACUCCUUGAGAGUCCUGAAGGAACGUUGAAGACGACGACGUUGAUAGGCCGGGUGUGUAAGCGCAGCGAUGCGUUGAGCUAACCGGUACUAAUGAACCGUGAGGCUUAACCUU
rnacentral:rRNA from 1 species